CCCUGCCAUUUGUACACACCGCCCGUCGCUACUACCGAUUGGCAGGCUUUUUGAGGCGUUCGGAGAGCCUAUAAGGAGCUGGCAACAGCACCUUACUGGUUCAAAGUUCUACGAAAAUGGUCUGCUAG
rnacentral:rRNA from 1 species